rnacentral:lncRNA from 1 species
UGAAUUUUACAAGGACACGUGGGAUGGGAUGGGAGAGAGAGAGUCUCUUCUUCCUCCCUUGUUUUCUUCAUUGGAACCUGAACUCCAUUUCAGAAACUGCAAAUUACAGGUCUCCCUUCCUCCUUUCUUUGGCCUUGGGUAUUUUGAAAAAAAUAGACAGCUCACGCGCAGCCUGCGCUACGUAACAGAAGGGAAACCCAGAAAGCCAGAGCACCAGACGGAAUUUCAUCACUUUCGACAGGAUCAGAGAGGCAGAACCACCACUCCUGGGCUUGAUUUCCGGCGAGAGGAGGGGCGGCCGCCCCUCCUCGCCCUUAUGUAGCUUCGCCCAUGACUGGCCGCAUAUGGAGGCGUCAUCCACUAUCAGAGCAAUACUACCCUAUAUCCGAGAGCUGUCAACUAGUAUUCAGACGGUAAGGUUCCUAUGCUGAAAGCCUGAAAGCACCAUGUAACACCAGGGAGGCGCACCUUAUUACUAGGAUGUCAGGGCACAUUGGAAUGGACGUGGUCAAUAUCAAAGGAGAACGUCCAUCAAUGGCAAAGCUGGCAGAUAGGCAUGCAAACCUAGGCAACCAGGGUCGAGGUAACCUGAAUCGGGAAACUGAGGAACAGGUUGUGUGGAAGGAUAGCAGACCCAUGGCUGUGUCAAAUGUUGUGCCUUGGCCCGUUCGUUAGUGCGGAAACGAGAUUCAGAUUACAACCUCACCAAAAUCACACUCAGUUGAACAGAAUAAAAUACAAGAAAUAAAGACACCGAGAAAUUUACGAGGUUCGGCAAAAACCUGCCUACGUCCCCGGAGAGAUAUUGCUCUUCACUAUGAGAAUAACAGUACAAGUACACAUGAGUUAAAUCAACAUAACCCACUCCCGAAUCCCUUGCACACCCACUCAUAGAAUUUUCCCAAGAGCCUCACUCUACCCCAAGAGUUCUUUCACUAGAAUACUUUUCACUCUAGCUCUCUUUUUCUCUCACCCGUGCCCAUGCUUUCCCAUGGGAGAGCCGAAUGCUCUCCCCCUUGGAUGCUCUCUGAUGCUUACCCUCUCACUUGGCAAGCCCUUUCAUCCUUCGGCAAAUCCUUCCACUUAUAACAACAAAAGAAAACCACCUUUGAAAAGGCCACAAAUCAAGGGCUAGACAUGAUGAUGUCUCCCUUUUUCUUUGUCCCUUUCUUUAGCCAAAAGUAGAUGUCUCCCUUUUCCUUUGUCCUUUUCUUUAGCCGAAAGUAGCUAGCACUCCACAUGGUUGAGAUGAAAUUGUUGCCAACUCAUAAUUAUAUGAGCCAAUCACAAUAAUCUCCACCUUGGCGAAUAUACAGUGCAAAAAUCCUUGCACCUAUCACCAAAGUCCAUUGGCCUUACGUACCAACAUACACACCCUGAAUCAACCUCGUUGGUCCUGUUUCGAUUCAGUCACUGCCAAUGCAUGUGCAGCUGCUGCAAGCUAAAAUCCACCAUUUAGCUUUAGACAGGAUCUCGACACAUCCUCGUCUCCUCCAGCAGGUUUUCCUCCUCUUCAUUGUCUGCAACCUAGAAACUCGUCAGCGCUCCCGUUUCCAGCAACAACCCAUCGAGCCAGACAAAAUUCCCACACUUCCUCCUACCUCAGGACCAUCUCAUCACCUGUGAAUCCCAUAGCUCCACCUGCUGCAAAACCCCUGCAACACUUGAGACUAAACAUCACCAGGAUAAGUGUUGCUUCGAGUACCUAGAGGGCAUACUCGAAGCCUUAUGCCACACUCGAAGCCUUGCCACCUAACUUGCCACCCGGCCGGCCUUGCACCGUAGCACUGUGGACCCUUGCCUCCGGAACCGGAUCUGAACCUGCUCUUUCUCAGAUCCUCUUUCCAAUUUUCUUCCACGAUUCCGACCUUGAAUAGCUUAAGCAAUCUCGUGCUCAUCAUCAUCCAUGGUCUCCUUUAUGUAUCAUUCCACACCAAAGAAGCUUGCACUUGCUCCAAACUUACUGUAUCUUUCCAUGCAGUAAAGUUUCACAAGGUUCUAAGACAAAUCUGAAAGUGAGGUAAGAAGAAAGAGGCCUUUGUCUUCUUCCUCAACAUCAACUUUCGUAGUUGAUCAAGCAUCCCAUGAACACGUCUUCUUGUUUAGGCUUCCAUUACUCUCCUUUGUCAAGAGUAAAACAACCUCUUCCUUUAAACCGCUCAACUGAAAAUUCCAUGGUGGACUACAAAUCUGGACCUCCAACGAACCAAAGCCCCCAACGAUGCUCUGAUACCAAUUGUUGUGCCUUGGCCCGUUCGUUAGUGCAGAAACGAGAUUCAGAUUACAACCUCACCAAAAUCACACUCAGUUGAACAGAAUAAAAUACAAGAAAUAAAGACACCGAGAAAUUUACGAGGUUCGGCAAAAACCUGCCUACGUCUCCGGAGAGAUAUUGCUCUUCACUAUGAGAAUAACAGUACAAGUACACAUGAGUUAAAUCAACAUAACCCAAUCCCGAAUCCCUUGCACACCCACUCAUAGAAUUUUCCCAAGAGCCUCACUCUACCCCAAGAGUUCUUUCACUAGAAUACUUUUCACUCUAGCUCUCUUUUUCUCUCACCCGUGCCCAUGCUUUCCCAUGGGAGAGCCGAAUGCUCUCCCCCUUGGAUGCUCUCUGAUGCUUACCCUCUCACUCGGCAAGCCCUUUCAUCCUUCGGCAAAUCCUUCCACUUAUAACAACAAAAGAAAACCACCUUUGAAAAGGCCACAAAUCAAGGGCUAGACAUGAUGAUGUCUCCCUUUUUAUUUGUCCCUUUCUUUAGCCAAAAGUAGAUGUCUCCCUUUUCCUUUGUCCCUUUCUUUAGCCGAAAGUAGCUAGCACUCCACAUGGUUGAGAUGAAAUUGUUGCCAACUCAUAAUUAUAUGAGCCAAUCACAACA